UGUACAAGCACAUCUUACCUGGUGAUGUCACUGGCCUGGAUUCAUAUGGGCCACAGAAAGUGGCUGAUGUCAGGGCUCCCAAGCAAGGGAGGAGGACUUCUGUCUGGUGUCACUUCAAAGAGAGGUAAGUUUUAUAGGUAAACCUGUGUGUGGCUCUUCUGAGACAGAGGCCACCUGGUUCUUCAUCUUUUUGGAAGAGGCCAAAGAGAGAGGAUAGAAUUUCUGGCUGAAGCAAAAAGGAGGCUGUGCCUCUCACGUUCGCUCCAAAGGAGACAAGCUCUUUCCUAAGAUGAGAUCACCCAGCAUGCUCGGCAAGGUGCUAAAAAAUAAUUGCCCUCAAUGAAGACAUACAAAUAAAUCAUUGUGCUUGGCAGCCAAAA